AGUGAACGCUGGCGGCGUGCCUAAUACAUGCAAGUCGAACGAUGAAGUCCUAGCUUGCUAGGAUGGAUUAGUGGCGCACGGGUGAGUAAUAUAUAGUUAAUCUGCCCUACACAGAGGAACAACAGUUGGAAACGACUGCUAAUACCUCAUACUCCUAUUUGACAUAAGUUAAAUAGGGAAAGUCUUUUCGGUGUAGGAUGAGACUAUAUCGUAUCAGCUAGUUGGUAAGGUAAUGGCUUACCAAGGCUAUGACGCGUAACUGGUCUGAGAGGAUGAUCAGUCACAUUGGAACUGAGACACGGUCCAAACUCCUACGGGAGGCAGCAGUAAGGAAUAUUGCGCAAUGGGGGAAACCCUGACGCAGCAACGCCGCGUGGAGGAUGACACUUUUCGGAGCGUAAACUCCUUUUAUCAGGAAAGAAUAAUGACGGUACCUGAUGAAUAAGCACCGGCUAACUCCGU
rnacentral:rRNA from 1 species